UGCAGGUUUAUUGAAUUAUGGUAAAAACAAAUUUAUCCUUUCAACGUGGCACCUUCCCUACCUCAAGUCAAGUAGCUAAAGCUGAUGACUGAAUCGCUCCUUUUCUUUCAACUCCCUCUCCUAAAUUGAAAAUGCAUGUCGGAUUUUACAUUUGCAUCAAGAAUUUCCUUUUCAGUUUUACUUUUUUUUAACAUCAACGUUCUAUUAUAGACCAUUGAAAGAGGGUGCCUGAGUUAUCCUUCAUUUUUACCUCAAUGGAGCAUCGUUUAGGAAUGUAACAUCCAACACAUCUUCUCCCUAUAUCAAAACUUUACUCCUGUCUUGUCCCUCUCUUUAUUUUUUCAUAUCAUGUAUUAAACAAACAAAUUAUUUGUGUUUGUCUGAUUCUUUUUUUUUUUUAUUUCGGAAAAGGUUGGCAAGCAAGUAAAAUAAAUACUACGCAUGUGCCAUUCUGAAAUUUUGGCUAGUUUUUAUUUUAGCAAAAUCGUAAAAAAAAAGAUUUCAAAUCUGUCAGACAACCGUGUGACCAUCCCAGAUUCACAAGUGAAGCCGAGAACGAUCCUCUACAGCCAACUGUGGUGGUCACUGAAGUUCCCACUCCAGAACCGUUAAUCACGCUCUGAUCAAACGGUCAGAUGUCAUCCACCAGAUUUAGGUUCCUGUCUCCUUAGAAUAUAAGGACACAGUAGUACGAUCCUAUAGAACAGAUCCUGUUCAAGUAAGGUCGUGACCAUAGUCACGACCUGUCAUUAUAUAAACGUUCAGUAAACGCAUGAAGUAACCGAUGUGGGACUCCUUUGAUGUUUACGGUUGUUUUUUAUUGUUGUUCUAACUUCGGUUUUCACUUUGACGAUGCAAAUCCAGUCAUCAUAAUUUGGUUAAACGUUUGAUGAAUUUGUCUAAACUGAAGACUCAUUGUUUCGUACUAUAUUCCUCUCUGAAUAUUUUCAACCCUUGUAGAGGUAAAGGUAAAAUGAUGCAAUUAGUGUUAACGUUACAGUCACAUAUCAAAGUAACUAAAUGGGUUGAUAGUUGUUAAAAGAAAAACAAAACUAAUCAUGUUUAAUUUAAGCUGUAUGAUAAGUAUUUCUUUUGUCAUAUACAAUAUGAUUGCAACUAUAACCUAUUCAAAUUGCCAAGUCAUAUCAAUUGGUGCAAAGAACUUGAGCAGUGGUGUCAUUAUCUCUAGCCUGCUGAUUUGUUAGUUAUAAUUUAAGAAAAUGGUACUGUCCUUAAAAGCUUGCAGUUUAUAUCUUAAUCUAAAUCUAAUAUUUGUAGAUCUAUACAUUACCAUUAUUUUCUCUGUUUUUCUUGGUUGAAAUAUUUAUAUAACAAAUCAUAUGAUCGCAGAUAACUUCAUCUAUAUUGUGAGAAUUUCAGUUUUCUGGUUGAAUUUAUUGCAUUGAAAGUGACUUGGUUAUUCAUCAAUCGUGUUUUCAAGCUCCAUGUGGAAGGAAAUGGUAUUCUCUACUGCUUGAAAUUAUUCGGCAUAUGUUAUUCUCUACUGCUUGAAAUCUGUUCCAAUGGUGCCUAAAUCCUUUGGAUGCUAGGGAGUUUCAAUUAAUUGAUUAAUGUUAAGUGUAAUGUAGAUGUCAAAGAAAAUAAUAUUGGAUGGAUAGGUGCUGUUACUGGAUCUGAGUCAUUGUGGCGACUGUAUAUGAGGGCAAGAGGCGGCAAUGUUUCAAUUUAUGCGGUGGCUUGACAUAAGCUGAUCUGCCAUGAAGUUUAAGGGCUGCAUAAUAAUGCAGAAACCAAAUUUGAAAGAGUGGAUGAGGAAGACGAGCUCAUUUGGUGGAGCGAUAAACACGGUGAUGCUGUGGAUGUGGUGGAGUGAAGAUGGAGCAGAAAUGAGAAGAAAAGGGUGAACAAGAAAGCCAAAGUGGCUGGUUUUUAGAAGGGUUGCAUGAAAUAAUUAGGUUACGUAGUUAUGAUUUAUGAUGAACGGGGCUGCUGCUGGUGAUGGUCUUGUAACCGGGGUUUGAUCAAAUAAGGAUGGUACGGUUGCUGGUUUGCUGUCAAAUUUUAUCAAAAUACACUGCUAAUUUUUCUGCAUAAUGACAGUGAUGAACAUAUUAUUCUGAAUAAACAAUGCUUAAUAUUCGGUGGAUUUGUUUGAAUUGUAUUUGGGUGCAAUCUUUUGUAA